rnacentral:rRNA from 1 species
GCUCAGGAUGAACGCUAGCGGCAGGCCUAAUACAUGCAAGUCGAGGGGCAGCAUUCACUUCGGUGAGAUGGCGACCGGCGCACGGGUGCGUAACGCGUAUGCAACCUACCCUUUACUGCGGGAUAGCCCGGGGAAACCCGGAUUAAUACCGCAUGGUACCAAUUGAGGGCAUCUAAAGAUGGUUAAAGAUUUAUCGGUAAAGGAUGGGCAUGCGUGACAUUAGUUAGUUGGUGAGGUAACGGCUCACCAAGACCACGAUGUCUGGGGGGUCUGAGAGGAUGAUCCCCCACACUGGCACUGAGAUACGGGCCAGACUCCUACGGGAGGCAGCAGUAGGGAAUAUUGGUCAAUGGGCGAAAGCCUGAACCAGCCAUGCCGCGUGCAGGAAGACGGCCUUCUGGGUUGUAAACUGCUUUUAUCAGGGAACAAAAAGCUCCUGCGGGAGAAAUUGCGUGUACCUGAAGAAUAAGGACCGGCUAACUCCGUGCCAGCAGCCGCGGUAAUACGGAGGGUCCAAGCGUUGUCCGGAUUUAUUGGGUUUAAAGGGUGCGUAGGCGGCCUUAUAAGUCAGUGGUGAAAUCCUUCGGCUCAACCGGAGAACUGCCAUUGAAACUGUAAGGCUUGAGUACAGACGAGGUAGGCGGAAUUUAUGGUGUAGCGGUGAAAUGCAUAGAUACCAUNAAAGAACACCUAUAGCGAAGGCAGCUUACUAGACUGUAACUGACGCUGAGGCACGAAAGCGUGGGGAGCGAACAGGAUUAGAUACCCUGNUAGUCCACGCCGUAAACGAUGAUUACUCGGUGUGUGCGAUAGACAGUACGCGUCCAGCGAAAGCGUUAAGUAAUCCACCUGGGG